CCGGUAUGUCUGAAAAUAAGAGUGAUAAAAAAUUACAUUGUUUGCCUGCAACUAUGAAGGGGACAAAAUAACCAAUUCUUUUUAGGUGCAUCUAAUUGAAUGC